CCUACGGGAGGCAGCAGUGAGGAAUAUUGGUCAAUGGGCGAGAGCCUGAACCAGCCAAGUCGCGUGAAGGAUGACGGCCCUACGGGUUGUAAACUUCUUUUGUCAGGGAGCAAUUGGGUCCACGCGUGGGCUUAGCGAGAGUACCUGAAGAAAAAGCAUCGGCUAACUCCGUGCCAGCAGCCGCGGUAAUACGUAGGGGGCAAGCGUUAUCCGGAUUUACUGGGUGUAAAGGGAGCGCAGACGGCUGUGCAAGUCUGGAGUGAAAGGCGGGGGCCCAACCCCCGGACUGCUCUGGAAACUGUAAAGCUGGAGUGCAGGAGAGGUAAGCGGAAUUCCUAGUGUAGCGGUGAAAUGCGUAGAUAUUAGGAGGAACACCAGUGGCGAAGGCGGCUUACUGGACUGCAACUGACGUUGAGGCUCGAAAGCGUGGGGAGCAAACAGGAUUAGAUACCCGUGUAGUC
rnacentral:rRNA from 1 species